rfam:Candida arabinofermentans NRRL YB-2248 unplaced genomic scaffold CANARscaffold_8, whole genome shotgun sequence.
GCCUCUUUGGCCAAGUGGUAAGGCGUCGCACUCGUAAUGCGAAGAUCGCUGGUUCAAAUCCGGUAAGAGGCA